rnacentral:lncRNA from 1 species
AUACUAUCUGUGCACAGACCUACCAGCAGCCUACAUCACUACAAGCACGAGUGCAGCAGAGGAGUCAUACACAAAGAUUACGGCGGGAUCCAUCUCAAAAAGAGGAAGAAAGAAGAGCGGGAGAGCCAAACAGCACACCAGAGACUAAUUUGGGGAGAUUAAAGUAUACCAGCUGGGGAAGUUGGGCAGUUUAUUUGAGGACGUACUCAUAAAUUCAAAGAUUUAUGUCAUCCGUGAUGAAAAUGCAAUUUUGGAGUUUGUGAGUUUGGGAUCAGCUCCAUUUUAUCUUGCUGUGUC